AUUGAACGCUGGCGGCAGGCUUAACACAUGCAAGUCGAGCGAGCGGCGGACGGGUGAGUUAUGUCUGGGAACCUGCCUGAUGGAGGGGGAUAACUACUGGAAACGGUAGCUAAUACCGCAUACCAUCAGAUGUGCCCAGAUGGGAUUAGCUAGUAGGUGGGGUAAUGGCUCACCUAGGCGACGAUCCCUAGCUGGUCUGAGAGGAUGACAAGGCACACGGCAACUGAGACACGGGCCAGACGCCUACGGGAGGCAGCAGUGGGGAAUGUUGCACAAGGGGCGCAAGCCUGAUGCAGCCAUGCCGCGUGUGUGAAGGAGGCCUUCGGGUUGUAAAGCACUUGCAGCGAGGAGGCGUUACUCGCAGAAGAAGCACCGGCUAACUCCGUGCCAGCAGCCGCGGUAAUUC
rnacentral:rRNA from 1 species